UAGGGAAUCUUCCGCAAUGGGCGAAAGCCUGACGGAGCAACGCCGCGUGAGUGAUGACGGUCCUCGGGUUGUAAAACUCUGUUAAUAGGGAAGAACAAAUGUGUAAGUAACUAGGCACGUCUUGACGGUACCUAAUCAGAAAGCCACGCCUCACUACGUGCCAGCAGCCGCGGUAAUACGUAGGUGGCAAGCGUUAUCCGGAAUGAUUGGGCGUAAAGGGCGCGUAGGCGGUUUUUUAAGGCAGAUGUGAAAGCCCACGGCUCAACCGUGGAGGGUCAUUGGAAACUGGAAAGCUUGAGUGCAGAAGAGGAAAGUGGAAUUCCAUGUGUAGCGGUGAAAUGCGCAGAGAUAUGGAGGAACACCAGUGGCGAAGGCGACUUUCUAGUCUGUAACUGACGCUGAUGUGCGAAAGCGUGGGGAUCAAACAGG
rnacentral:rRNA from 1 species